CAGUAGCCGCGGGAAUACGUAGGUGGCAAGCGUUGUCCGGAAUUAUUGGGCGUAAAGGGCUCGCAGGCGGUUUCUUAAGUCUGAUGUGAAAGCCCCCGGCUCAACCGGGGAGGGUCAUUGGAAACUGGGAAACUCGAGUGCAGAAGAGGAGAGUGGAAUUCCACGUGUAGCGGUGAAAUGCGUAGAGAUGUGGAGGAACACCAGUGGCGAAGGCGGCUCACUGGUCCAUUACUGACGCUGAGGUGCGAAAGCGUGGGGAGCAAACAGGAUUAGAUACCCCAGUAGUCCCUGUCUCUUAUAC
rnacentral:rRNA from 1 species